rnacentral:rRNA from 1 species
UGGGGAAUAUUGCACAAUGGGGGAAACCCUGAUGUAGCGACGCCGCGUGAAGGAAGAAGUAUUUCGGUAUGUAAACUUCUAUCAGCAGGGAAGAAAAUGACGGUACCCUGACUAAGAAGCCCCGGCUAACUACGUGCC